AAAUUCUCCUAGCCUUCUGGAAAGGAUCAAAAAAAAUGCUUUGCCUUUUUACCUGGAGAGCCGAUUCCUCUUGACAAGGGGGAUGAACUUGAUGAGCUAACCUGCUGAAUGGGGAAGUUACUAGUGACAUUCCCAUGUUGUAGGUGAGAAAAGUGGAGGCUGGGGGCAAUUGGAAGAUGUGCUGGAGCAAAUGUCCCAAUUAGACAACAUCUGGACUGCAGCACACUAUCGUGUGUUUAUGAAAUCCCAGUGUCAAACAGUAAAUCUCUGCGAAGACGUGCAUGGCUUUAAGACUGACCUGAUGGGGCAAUGGAGAAUGAAAAAAAUGAUGGACAUUGGGCCAGAAAAGUUAGGAUCAGACAAUGACCACAAAUGCAAGUCCUGACUGGAGGACAUAGGAAAAGGAGAUCAAUAGUCCACCUUUAAGUCAUCUUAGACUUGUGCUUGGGAAAAAGAGCACACCUCCAGAUGCUGCUUCUCUUGAAAGCUUCAGGCCACAACCAGAGCUUUGUAGAACGGGUAGGUGUUCACAUGGUCAUUUUCAUGUUGGCUCUGCGCCUGCCUUCCACCCGUCUCCACUGGUGCAGAACGUGAGCCAGAGGCCCCGAGCAGCUAGAAGUGUGGUCCAUUCUGUGAAAACAGAACAUGCCAACAAGACCCUUCUGGUCAUACUCUUCUGUGAAAAAGACUAGGGGUGGAAACCUGUGACAUGGUACGCCACUGUUUCAGGACCUCUAAGGCCAGGCGGAUCCCAGAGAAACAGGCCACCUUAUCUUUAAGACUCUGUUCUUGUUAGCAACUGGAAGGAAACCUGACAGUUCCGAGCCUGCAAAUGAUCUGUGCAGAACCAUAGCUGCUGCCCACAGUCAGCGUCUGCCGACCUCCUCGAGCACCAGAAGUACCAGCGCGCUUGCGUUCAUCAUAACGUAUGCAGAUUUCUCUGUCUUAAUAAAUGUCUCAGCUUUUCCUUUUGUCUCUUCUCUAGACAUACCAGGGCUGCUUGGCCUGUCACUGUGUGUCCCAGAUGGCAAUCAUAUUCUUCUUCUCAAAUAGACGUUUCCUCACCAAGAUUUGUCUCUUUAUUUUUGUUUGACAAGUCAAACAAAGGACGCCUGUCAUUUAUGUGGCGGGGAUUAAGACCCAUGGGAAAGGACAUGGGAUGGCCCUAUCUCUCAGAGGUGAGAGGACAUGUUAAUUGGGGAGGUCUGUUAGUAGCGUAGAGCAAAGGACUUGCCGCAGGCUUUUGUGACAGCCUAUGGGACCACUCUUGGGGCUACACUGUCGUCCAGAGCCCGUGGAGAGGUGGCACAAUUGUUGUGGGGGGUCUUGCUCCCACCUUCCCGUGUGCAGACACCAUUUCCUUCUCUCACUCCAACGACUAUCGGUAGUUGUGCGAAUCCACUCUUUCUUCUCUACCUAGAGGAAGCAUUUUAUACAGGACGUCCCCUGCUCGCCUAUUUGCACACAUAUAUAUCUGGAUUUUUGUUCUAGUCAGUGGAUAAAAUAUGCUGCAGUCACUUCUCCUGAAUCUCAAAUUGUCCCAGAUUAAGAGACUUGUAUUUCUGCCUCUGAGAAACUAAAUGACCCAGGGCAAAUCACUUUGCUCUUUUGAAUUACAAUUUCUCAUUUCGUGUGACAAAGGAGUUACAUAGAAAGAUCUUUCAUUUCCUUUUCUCUGUGUUGAGCUGAGGAACCCAAGAUACAUAAUUUUCCUUUUCUUCUUUUUCUAAAGUCUUUCUAAAAUUGCCAUUUUUGUUCUGAGAGGAUUAUUUGCAUUUAUAAAACCAUUUAACUAAGGCAUACAUAGUGGUCAGUUUAAAGCAACACAUGACUAGGUAGCCCAUUUAUUCCUUCAC